rnacentral:lncRNA from 1 species
AUUUUCUGGAAGAGAUUGUAUAGAAUUAUGUUAAUUCUUAUUUCAGUUAUGAUUGGUUAAUAUAUUAGCAUAUUCAUGAAAAUGACUUGAUCAAAUAGCUACCUACAUAAACUAUGGGGCCUGAAUUUUGGAAUGCGUUUUGCUUUUAAAAUCAACCACAUAUGUUUUUAGAAGUUCAUCACUUUGCCAAUGGGAGGGACUCAAUAUGCACUUUAUAAGUGACUGAAUGACUGAAGGAGUGGGGAGAUGAAUCAAUCAUCCUAAAAAAUAUGAUCAGCCAUUUCAAAGUGGCAUUCUUGAUGCGUUUUCCUUUUAUGGCAAGGCAAACACACAAAGUUCCCUGUGUAAGACAGAAUGCAUUUAUUAUAUGGCUGGUAACGAUUAGGGCAGUGCUAUAUAGCCACGAAAGAAAAUCAUUCUCUGAGAGAAGCGAACGUUCAAAACCUAAGCCUGUGGUUUUGACAUUAUUAGUACCACUCUACCUGCUUAAGCAUUGACAAAUUAUUCAGUAACAGAUAAUGACUGGCUGGGGUGGCAAACAUAGAUGCUACUACCUCCAUAAUUGCACAACUACAUACUGUAAAAUUGCAUUAUGCAAUGGAGUCAAGUUAAAUAGGGUAUAAUAAAAUAAACUUGUUUUGUAUUUAGACAGAACUUUGCAAAGUUAACAAUUUCAUUUUCAUCUGAAGCAAGUCCAUCCUUACACCCUGGAAUUAAAAUGAAAAAGAUCAGUGUUCCCCCACCCCCCACCCUACCAAUUCCAUUUAUUCUCUUUACUGGUGUUGACUAGGAAAAUCUCGAACAGAAAAUUAGCACUACUACUGCUAGUUACAUUUCAGUUAAUUUUUGAGAAGGAAAAAUAAAAUCAGUCAAAGUCCAUUAUCUAGAGAAUUCUAAUUUAGCAACUUUGAGGUCUUCAAAUAAGAAUGUAAUAUUAAUGUCAUACAUAAUAUAUUUUCUUUAGGGAUGUGUAUUAGUUAUAGGGGUUUUCAGUUCUCCAUUUUCUUAAACUAAAAGCAAUUAAGUAGAUAGGGAAGGAAAGAUUGAGACAAUUCUACUUAUAGUUAAUUUUAAAAAUCUGUAUACCAAACUGCUCCAAUAGCAUGAAUAUCAGCUGCACAAUAGUCUAAUGAGAUUUGAACUGUCAGCAGAACAGAACUUUUGAAUGAUACUAGAUUCAAAAUAAAAGAAUAGAGACAAAAGGACUGGGAAAAUUAAACAUAUUUUGUAGUUGCCAGGCAAUAUAAUUUUUCAAGGUUGAGUAAUGCAUUCAUCCCCUAUAGGAAUAAGCAGACUUUUAGUUUCCAUAGUGUUAUAAGCCAAAUUUUGAUAUUUUUGGCUUAGAACAAUGGAGCAGGCCCCCAUUCCUUCAAAGUUUUUCCACAUCCUCUUUAAAAGUGCAGUGACUGGGAGUAUUUUUGGUAAUUUAUUUGUAUUUCGUACUGAGAUUUAUAAAAAAUGAAACCACUCCAAAAGAUUCAUGACUGAAUGCAGGACAUAUGAAAAUUUAAAAGCACAGUUCAUUAAACCAAUCAAUGAUUCCCAUGAUUAGAAAAUAAUCUAACAGACAGUGCAUUUUGUUCUGGAGGUCAAAGUCUAAGUUAUUACCAAUACCCUGGGAACAGAAGCCCCACAAUUAAGAGGCCUCCAUACCAUUUUAUCAAAUAAUUCAAGGAUGUAAGUAGCAUGAAAUAUACUAACAUAGUGGUCAUUCUCACAUCUAUAAAUAACCAAUCUGUAAAUCUAUUCUACAGAUAGAACACUAGCGUCCCUACUGAAGUUCCCAGUGACUGAGGCCACACAGAACACACAGACAUGACACUCUUUCACAGCCACAAAUAACAUUUUAUUUUAAAAAUAUCAGAGAUUUCUGAAAAUCAAUAUAAUUAUAAAUUCAUUAUUGAAAAUUAAUGAGUAAGAAGACAAAAUUUUCCAAAAAGAUGUAAGAACUCAUCUUGUGGCCAACUGUGUUAAUGUCAAGCAAGAGAAAUUUCUGUAGUAAUCUUUUUUUUUUUUUUUGAGACGGAGUCUCACUCAGUCACCCAAGCUGGAACGCAGUGGCACGAUCUCAGCUCA